UACGAAGGGUGCAAGCGUUAUUCGGAAUUACUGGGCGUAAAGCGUGCGUAGGCGGUUUGUUAAGUCUGAUGUGAAAGCCCUGGGCUCAACCUGGGAAUGGCAUUGGAUACUGGCGAGCUAGAGUGCGGUAGAGGGUAGUGGAAUUCCCGGUGUAGCAGUGAAAUGCGUAGAGAUCGGGAGGAACAUCUGUGGCGAAGGCGACUACCUGGACCAGCACUGACACUGAGGCACGAAAGCGUGGGGAGCAAACAGG
rnacentral:rRNA from 1 species